GAUGAAAACGUAGCGAAAUGCGAUAAGUAAUGUGAAUUGCAGAAUUCAGUGAAUCAUCGAAUCUUUGAACGCACAUUGCGCCCGCCAGUAUUCUGGCGGGCAUGCCUGUUCGAGCGUCAUUUCAACCAUCAAGCCCCCGGCUUGUGUUGGGGACCUGCGGCUGCCGCAGGCCCUGAAAACCAGUGGCGGGCUCGCUAGUCACUCCGAGCGUAGUAAUACAUCUCGCUCAGGGCGUGCUGCGGGUUCCGGCCGUUAAAAAGCCUUAUUUACCCAAGGUUGACCUCGGAUCAGGUAGGAAGACCCGCUGAACUUAAGCAUAUCAAUAAGCGGAGGA
rnacentral:misc_RNA from 1 species